GUGGGGAAUUUUGGACAAUGGGCGAAAGCCUGAUCCAGCAAUGCCGCGUGUGUGAAGAAGGCCUUCGGGUUGUAAAGCACUUUUGGCAGGGAAGAAACAGUGCGUGCUAAUACCAUGCGCGAAUGACGGUACCUGCAGAAUAAGCACCGGCUAACUACGUGCCAGCAGCCGCGGUAAUACGUAGGGUGCAAGCGUUAAUCGGAAUUACUGGGCGUAAAGCGUGCGCAGGCGGCUUUGUAAGACGGAUGUGAAAGCCCCGGGCUCAACCUGGGAAGUGCAUUCGUGACUGCAAGGCUAGAGUGUGGCAGAGGGAGGUGGAAUUCCGCGUGUAGCAGUGAAAUGCGUAGAGAUGCGGAGGAACACCGAUGGCGAAGGCAGCCUCCUGGGAUAACACUGACGCUCAGGCACGAAAGCGUGGGGAGCAAACAGGAUUAGAUACCCUUGUAGUCC
rnacentral:rRNA from 1 species